AGAUUACAACCAAAUAAAUCAAACAUGCAUAUUAGAUAGAAAUUAUACCUUCCUAAAGAUGAUGAUCCGAUAUGAGGAUGGUCUUCACAAGACACCAAAAUAGAUAUCCUCCAAUAGUGAUCUACGCAGACUUGAUCAGGAUCCUUCCCAAUUUGAUGUAGUGCUGCAACCUUCUUCAUAAGUACACUGCCAACUUUCUUUUUUCAAGAACAGAUUAUACCACCACC
rnacentral:lncRNA from 1 species